rnacentral:rRNA from 1 species
UACAGAGGUCUCGAGCGUUAGGCGGAAUCACUGGGCUUAAAGCGUGUGUAGGCGGAUCGGUAAGUACCUUGUGAAAUCCCACGGCUUAACCGUGGAACUGCUUGGUAUACUGCCAGUCUUGAGCCAUCUAGGGGCUACCGGAACAAAUGGUGGAGCGGUGAAAUGCGUAGAUAUCAUUUGGAACGCCAAUGGUGAAAACAGGUAGCUGGGGAUGUGCUGACGCUGAGACGCGAAAGCGUGGGGAGCGAACAGG